rnacentral:rRNA from 1 species
UGGGGAAUAUUGGACAAUGGGCGAAAGCCUGAUCCAGCCAUGCCGCGUGAGUGAUGAAGGCCCUAGGGUUGUAAAGCUCUUUCACCGGUGAAGAUAAUGACGGUAACCGGAGAAGAAGCCCCGGCUAACUUCGUGCCAGCAGCCGCGGUAAUACGAAGGGGGCUAGCGUUGUUCGGAAUUACUGGGCGUAAAGCGCACGUAGGCGGACUAUUAAGUCAGGGGUGAAAUCCCGGGGCUCAACCCCGGAACUGCCUUUGAUACUGGUAGUCUCGAGUCCGGAAGAGGUUAGUGGAACUCCAAGUGUAGAGGUGAAAUUCGUAGAUAUUCGGAAGAACACCAGUGGCGAAGGCGGCUCACUGGUCCGGUACUGACGCUGAGGUGCGAAAGCGUGGGGAGCAAACA